rnacentral:piRNA from 1 species
UCAAAAGAAAAAUGAAUUGAA